rnacentral:rRNA from 1 species
GGGACACGUGGUAUCCUGUCUGAAUAUGGGGGGACCAUCCUCCAAGGCUAAAUACUCCUGACUGACCGAUAGUGAACCAGUACCGUGAGGGAAAGGCGAAAAGAACCCCGGCGAGGGGAGUGAAAAAGAACCUGAAACCGUGUACGUACAAGCAGUGGGAGCACGCUUAGGCGUGUGACUGCGUACCUUUUGUAUAAUGGGUCAGCGACUUAUAUUCUGUAGCAAGGUUAACCGAAUAGGGGAGCCGAAGGGAAACCGAGUCUUAACUGGGCGUUAAGUUGCAGGGUAUAGACCCGAAACCCGGUGAUCUAGCCAUGGGCAGGUUGAAGGUUGGGUAACACUAACUGGAGGACCGAACCGACUAAUGUUGAAAAAUUAGCGGAUGACUUGUGGCUGGGGGUGAAAGGCCAAUCAAACCGGGAGAUAGCUGGUUCUCCCCGAAAGCUAUUUAGGUAGCGCCUCGUGAAUUCAUCUCCGGGGGUAGAGCACUGUUUCGGCAAGGGGGUCAUCCCGACUUACCAACCCGAUGCAAACUGCGAAUACCGGAGAAUGUUAUCACGGGAGACACACGGCGGGUGCUAACGUCCGUCGUGAAGAGGGAAACAACCCAGACCGCCAGCUAAGGUCCCAAAGUCAUGGUUAAGUGGGAAACGAUGUGGGAAGGCCCAGACAGCCAGGAUGUUGGCUUAGAAGCAGCCAUCAUUUAAAGAAAGCGUAAUAGCUCACUGGUCGAGUCGGCCUGCGCGGAAGAUGUAACGGGGCUAAACCAUGCACCGAAGCUGCGGCAGCGACGCUUAUGCGUUGUUGGGUAGGGGAGCGUUCUGUAAGCCUGUGAAGGUGUGCUGUGAGGCAUGCUGGAGGUAUCAGAAGUGCGAAUGCUGACAUAAGUAACGAUAAAGCGGGUGAAAAGCCCGCUCGCCGGAAGACCAAGGGUUCCUGUCCAACGUUAAUCGGGGCAGGGUGAGUCGACCCCUAAGGCGAGGCCGAAAGGCGUAGUCGAUGGGAAACAGGUUAAUAUUCCUGUACUUGGUGUUACUGCGAAGGGGGGACGGAGAAGGCUAUGUUGGCCGGGCGACGGUUGUCCCGGUUUAAGCGUGUAGGCUGGUUUUCCAGGCAAAUCCGGAAAAUCAAGGCUGAGGCGUGAUGACGAGGCACUACGGUGCUGAAGCAACAAAUGCCCUGCUUCCAGGAAAAGCCUCUAAGCAUCAGGUAACAUCAAAUCGUACCCCAAACCGACACAGGUGGUCAGGUAGAGAAUACCAAGGCGCUUGAGAGAACUCGGGUGAAGGAACUAGGCAAAAUGGUGCCGUAACUUCGGGAGAAGGCACGCUGAUAUGUAGGUGAAGUCCCUUGCGGAUGGAGCUGAAAUCAGUCGAAGAUACCAGCUGGCUGCAACUGUUUAUUAAAAACACAGCACUGUGCAAACACGAAAGUGGACGUAUACGGUGUGACGCCUGCCCGGUGCCGGAAGGUUAAUUGAUGGGGUUAGCGCAAGCGAAGCUCUUGAUCGAAGCCCCGGUAAACGGCGGCCGUAACUAUAACGGUCCUAAGGUAGCGAAAUUCCUUGUCGGGUAAGUUCCGACCUGCACGAAUGGCGUAAUGAUGGCCAGGCUGUCUCCACCCGAGACUCAGUGAAAUUGAACUCGCUGUGAAGAUGCAGUGUACCCGCGGCAAGACGGAAAGACCCCGUGAACCUUUACUAUAGCUUGACACUGAACAUUGAGCCUUGAUGUGUAGGAUAGGUGGGAGGCUUGGAAGUGUGGACGCCAGUCUGCAUGGAGCCGACCUUGAAAUACCACCCUUUAAUGUUUGAUGUUCUAACGUUGACCCGUAAUCCGGGUUGCGGACAGUGUCUGGUGGGUAGUUUGACUGGGGCGGUCUCCUCCUAAAGAGUAACGGAGGAGCACGAAGGUUGGCUAAUCCUGGUCGGACAUCAGGAGGUUAGUGCAAUGGCAUAAGCCAGCUUGACUGCGAGCGUGACGGCGCGAGCAGGUGCGAAAGCAGGUCAUAGUGAUCCGGUGGUUCUGAAUGGAAGGGCCAUCGCUCAACGGAUAAAAGGUACUCCGGGGAUAACAGGCUGAUACCGCCCAAGAGUUCAUAUCGACGGCGGUGUUUGGCACCUCGAUGUCGGCUCAUCACAUCCUGGGGCUGAAGUAGGUCCCAAGGGUAUGGCUGUUCGCCAUUUAAAGUGGUACGCGAGCUGGGUUUAGAACGUCGUGAGACAGUUCGGUCCCUAUCUGCCGUGGGCGCUGGAGAACUGAGGGGGGCUGCUCCUAGUACGAGAGGACCGGAGUGGACGCAUCACUGGUGUUCGGGUUGUCAUGCCAAUGGCACUGCCCGGUAGCUAAAUGCGGAAGAGAUAAGUGCUGAAAGCAUCUAAGCACGAAACUUGCC